rnacentral:lncRNA from 1 species
ACAUCAUAGCUGGGGAACAGGGAUUCACAAGACCCAGGCUGUUCCCUACAUAUUUUUCCUCCUCAGACAUCAGUUCAUCAGUCAAUCAAGUCAUGUGAGAGUGGAGGCCAUGUAUUCCGUAUUCUUGGGCACUCUCCUCCAAGGAGGAAAAGGCCAGGAGGUCCUGUUAGAGGAUGCACUCUGAGAGGCCGGGCUCCCUAAGGUGUGAGAGUUCUAACCAGCAGGUGUAGACUUUUCAGGAGUGAGGAAUGAGGCAGGCAUUCCAAACCUGGAGCUUCAUCACCUUUUGUUUCAUCUCAAGACAAUUCUGAGGGGCUGUUUUGGAACGUGUCUGGAAGGUGAACGUUGAAGAAGAGUGUGGGCUUUGAUGUGACUCAGAUAAGAUCUUUCAUGGGGAGGCAGGAAUUUAAUGCCCAGAAUCUGGGCUGGUGUCUUUGAGGUCAGUGGGUUGCCUUUUUGUAUCCAAGUCCAUUGUUACUAGGUUGGAGGCUGGAGAUUCUAAAUGGCUUCCAGACCGCCUCUCUGAUUCUCUUUUGGAGAUGGGGUCUGAAAAAGACAAUGUCAGUAUUUUUGGGAAAUUCUGGAAAGUCUGUUUGGAAACCUGUGAAGACCUCUUGCCUAGUGCCU